UGGGGAAUAUUGCACAAUGGGCGAAAGCCUGAUGCAGCAACGCCGCGUGAGGGACGACGGCCUUCGGGUUGUAAACCUCUUUUAGCAAGGAAGAAGCGAAAGUGACGGUACUUGCAGAAAAAGCGCCGGCUAACUACGUGCCAGCAGCCGCGGUAAUACGUAGGGCGCAAGCGUUAUCCGGAAUUAUUGGGCGUAAAGAGCUCGUAGGCGGUUUGUCGCGUCUGCUGUGAAAACCCGAGGCUCAACCUCGGGCCUGCAGUGGGUACGGGCAGACUAGAGUGCGGUAGGGGAGAUUGAAACUCCUGGUGUAGCGGUGGAAUGCGCAGAUAUCAGGAAGAACACCGAUGGCGAAGGCAGAUCUCUGGGCCGUAACUGACGCUGAGGAGCGAAAGGGUGGGGAGCAAACAGGCUUAGAUACCCUGGUAGUCCACCCGUAACGUUGGAACUAGUUGUGGGUCCAUUCCACGGAUUCCGUGACGCAGCUAACGCAUUAAGUUCCCCGCCUGGGGAGUACGGCCGCAAGGCUAAAACUUAAAUGAAUUGACGGGGUCAUAGCUGUUUCCU
rnacentral:rRNA from 1 species